GCUGUAACACUGAUGGGGCUGCUCUACCAGAAACAGAUGAAGAUACUACAGUAUGCUGUUACACUGAUGGGGCUGCUCUACCAGAAACAGAUGAAGAUACCACAGUAUGCUGUUACACUGAUGGGGCUGCUCUACCUGAAACAUAUGAAGAUACCACAGUAUGCUGUUACACUGAUGGGGCUGCUCUACCAGAAACAGAUGAAGAUACUACAGUAUGCUGUUACACUGAUGGGGCUGCUCUACCAGAAACAGAUGAAGAUACCACAGUAUGCUGUUACACUGAUGGGGCUGCUCUACCAGAAACAGAUGAAGAUACCACAGUAUGCUGUAACACUGAUGGGGCUGCUCUACCAGAAACAGAUGAAGAUACCACAGUAUGCUGUAACACUGAUGGGGCUGCUCUACCAGAAACAGAUGAAGAUACUACAGUAUGCUGUUACACUGAUGGGGCUGCUCUACCAGAAACAGAUGAAGAUACCACAGUAUGCUGUAAAACUGAUGGGGCUGCUCUACCAGAAACGGAUGAAGAUGCCACAGUAUGCUGUAACACUGAUGGGGCUGCUCUACCAGAAACGGAUGAAGAUACUACAGUAUGCUGUUACACUGAUGGGGCUGCUCUACCAGAAACAGAUGAAGAUACCACAGUAUGCUGUUACACUGAUGGGGCUGCUCUACCUGAAACAUAUGAAGAUACCACAGUAUGCUGUUACACUGAUGGGGCUGCUCUACCAGAAACAGAAGAAGGGGGAUAGGGUUUGCAAAAUUCCAGUCACUCCCCAAAUUCCCAGGUUUUCUAGAAAUCUCUGUUGGAAGUUUACUGGAUUUCCUGCUUAUUCCCUCCUGAUUCCAGGAAUCUUCCAACCAGUAUUUUAGAAAAACCUGGGAAUUUUUGCAGAGUUACUGGAAUUGUGCAACCCCAAUGGGGAUAACAAUAUACAGCAGGUCCAAGGUAAAAAGGAAGCAUCUCCACAUGGACUCCCACAAGCUAUUCCUCAUAUUGUUUAACAUAAGGAUGAUGUCAUCAUCAGUAUAGACAAGUAUAAAGGCCUCAUUGGAGAAAACUGGACAUUCAUUGGGUCAUAACAUUUGAUUGAGCCAGGGUUGGUGGGAUGGCUUCAUAGAGAGUCUCUAUCGAUGACAUGGACUGACUGCAGGGGGUUAUUCAUCUAAAAGACAAUGUCAGGGGAUGCCUUGCCACAAGUGCAGGCAACUGCUUGAUAUUCAAACCAAAUGUGUGGAAAAAGCAGGUGAACUAGAAAGAAUGAAGAAUACAGUGAUGGGACAGAAAAGGAAUCGUCCACACCUUGCAUGAUUGUAAUGGGUCUCGGUCAGCUAUGUACAUCCGAAUACAUGUUUAUUUAUAGAUACUUCUCUCUAAUAUAUUAAUGUACAAAAUAUAGAAUCUAAAAUAUCUGAUAGGGUUUGGUGUUUGAGUCAAAAUACAAAAUGUCAAAUACAAAACUUUUCGUUGACAUCCUCAGUUGAGUGUCGUCAGUUAAAGCAUGUGUGUCUAUGUGCAUGUAUGUGUGUCUAUGUGCAUGUAUAUGUGCAUGUAUGUGUGUCUAUGUGCAUGUAUGUGCGUCUAUGUGCAUGUAUGUGUGUCUAUGUGCAUGUAUGUGCGUCUAUGUGCAUGCGUCUAUGU
ensembl:lncRNA